ACCACGAAUCAUACAAAAUAUCUGCAACGAUGAUACACAACAUCAGAUACUUCUUCCAGGAGGCCUAUGUUAAAUAAUAAGCUACUGAAAUUUGAGUGUACCCUUGGAUCUAAAAGCAAAAUCUCAAGCAAUAUGAGUUUCGAAGAGGGUCUUAUCUUCGGGUAAGACUUCAAAUGAGUUUAGGUAUACAAACGACUUAUGUUACCUCUCACAUUGUGAUUAUUAAUAUAUUAGAGAUCAUACAAUAUAGGAGUUGUGUGUUUAUCAUUCGGACCACAUAGUAUGACCAGCAAGUAAAGAAAGUGAUAGAUAAUAACCAACAAAAGAGUAAGAAGGUAUCAGAAAACAGAGGACACAGUGACAUACCUAGACAAAUAUGCCCAUUGCUGU